rnacentral:rRNA from 1 species
UGCGUAGGUGGUGCUGUAAGUCAGGUGUGAAAUCUCGGGGCUCAACCCCGAAACUGCACUUGAUACUACAGUGCUCGAGGACUGGAGAGGAGAUCGGAAUUCAUGGUGUAGCAGUGAAAUGCGUAGAUAUCAUGAGGAAGACCAGUGGCGAAGGCGGAUCUCUGGACAGUUCCUGACACUGAGGCACGAAGGCCAGGGGAGCAAACG